rnacentral:rRNA from 1 species
CGACCGGCGCACGGGUGAGUAACACGUAUCCAACCUGCCGAUAACUCGGGGAUAGCCUUUCGAAAGAAAGAUUAAUAUCCGAUAGCAUAUUGAGAUCGCAUGAUUUUGAUAUUAGAGAAUUUCGGUUAUCGAUGGGGAUGCGUUCCAUUAGUUUGUUGGCGGGGUAACGGCCCACCAAGACUACGAUGGAUAGGGGUUCUGAGAGGAAGGUCCCCCAUAUUGGAACUGAGACACGGUCCAA